AAAGUAAAAGGUUUCAGCAGCAGCACAAUGAGGAACACGAUAAAAAAACAACAAUGCAUGUGCAAAAAUUAGAUACAUGAUGGAUGAACAUAACAGGGUGCGGUUGGAGGGAGGCCAUGAUGAAAGGAUUGGAAGGAUAAAAGCAGAGUAGAGAAAAAGAGAGAACAAACAGAGAAACCAAGAAACAGUGAGACACUACAACAGAGGAAAGCAGAGACGAAAAACACAGACUUUGAUCAAUGCUAACGAUCUCACUAGUAUUUUUAUGAGGGAACAUCUCAAACACUGAUACUACAGUUAAACUACAAAAAUAGACCGUUACGACACGCCCAUUUGCUCUAAUAGGCACUAAAAAACAACCCAUUCCCUGACAAGCUAAAGCAAAGCAGUGCUUCUCCUAACCACAUGCUCACUCUCCCCCAUUCAGCUCCACAAUGCCAGGCCAUCUGCUGUGGCUGUGCCCAGUGGAGAGGGUGUGUCUACAGGCUGCGGUGCACAUCAAGCGCCCCUUCAUCUGCUGCUCAUGUAGCUCUAAUGCUACAGAGGCAGUUUCCAAAAGAAGCUAAAAACCCAAACAUGUGGCUUAAGGAAAUCCUGCUCCUGUGUAGCUCGAGAGCUGGAUUGCAUCAGUGUGAUGAGACACUGUGCUGUAGCUACAUGUCACUGGCAGACAGUGUGUUGUCAGCAGGAGUAUUCAAGAGUAAGAACCCCAACCAGCAUCUAAGUGGACUGAAGUGACAUUUGCAGAGAGACAUAGAGAGAUAGAGACAGACUGAGGUGAGCAGGUGUGGUCCAGGGCCAGGAGAGGAGCAUCCGAUUCAGCCAC